AGUUUCAACCAUUCUAAGAUUUUCUUGCAUUCAGUGAGAGCUGAAAGCUGAGUAGGUCUGGUGGGCAGGAGGAUCAGCCAAGAGUUUAAUUUGUGGGACGUGUUCAGGCACAAGCAAGAAGUGUCUGAGGGCUUGAGAGGAACUGGAGACAAGAAUUUAGUCACACUUCACUUGGAUUCCUCAGGAAUGUCUUUGUUUAGUUGAACACUACUGAUUCCAGUUGUGAUGAGGCAGAACCCAUACCUGAAUGGAACAAAAGCAGUCUCAACAGAAACCUGAAACAGGAUUUACAUUUUAUGGUUUUUGACCUUAUGGCUCCUAGGAAGAAUGAAUCAUGCUCCUGUGAGACAUGACCUAACCUCAUCUCUUCUUUGGCUGGAAGUGCAG
rnacentral:lncRNA from 12 species